ensembl:lncRNA
AGUAUGUUGGCGAAUACACGUACCCCUGUGGCAGGACCUGAAAGGUCCACUGCCUGCCUCCCCAUGUAAACACAAACUGAUCUUGCAAUUCUUCAGCAAUUGGAAUACUGAAGAACGCAUUUGCUAAAUCUGGGACAAAUGGUAAGCUUUUAUUUCUCUACUCAAUGUGUCCAUUAGGGAGACAAUAUUGGGUACGGCUGCAUGAAUAGGCGGAGUGACCUUAUUUAACUCUCUAUAGUCCACUGUCAUUCUCCAUGAGGUCUUAUAAUACCUACUUUCUCUAAUUCCUGUACCAUUCUUGAUAUUUCAUCUUGCCCACCCAGGAGUCUAUACUAUCUAACAUUAGUAAUCUGGUAUGGUUUUGGCAGGUGAAUAGGCUCCUGCUUUGUAUGGCCUCUCAAUAUUGCCUGCGCUGCCUGGACAUUAAUACACCUUUGUUGAAGUCUGAACUAUCCCACAGUCAUCUGGAGAGUCAGACCCCACAAAAUAUCUAUGCCCAGGAUGUAUUCUGGGACUGGGGCAAUAGAUACCUUAUACUCCCAGAGUGGGAAAUGCCCAACCCGCAAUUUCAACCAGGUCUGAGUGACUGGAACGGUCUGUCCCCCAAAACCUCCAAUCAUCACUCUAUCACCAUCGGAUUUAGUUGGAUCUCCAUAGAUUACUGAUGUUUCCACCUCUGUAUCAACUAGUGCCAUAGCUCUCUGAAUAUUCUUUUGGGACCAGAAAAUCAUCAAUUCCACACAGGGCCUCUGGUCCCUUCUGGAGGCCCUAGGGGUACUAACAUCCCUUGUCAUGCCAUGAACUGUGCUAUGGUUAAAGCUUUCAUUUCUGGUGGCUCAGGCAUUGUGGCUCGAGACACCUGAGGGGGCUUCUUUUUCCUAUUAGGGACUAUGAAAACUUUACGGCUCCAUGUUGUUGUUGGUACUCUGCCUAUAACUCUUACCCUCAGUUUUCUGGGGUAGUUUUGAAAUUUCUGAUGAUCCUUCAGCUGUCUCCAAAACUGAAGGAGGACGUGAUUGGGCUAGCGAUCAAUUUUUGCGAAUUGGAUCCCAGCCUGGAUAAGAUAGUUAAACAUCUGCUUUUGCGAGACCCUUAUGGGCCUCAACUGAGGAUUCCGCAUAACUGGCUUCUUAGUUUUAAUUACUGGAAGGACCUCUGCUUCCUCUACCGCUCAAAUAUUGCGCCUGGUCCACAGGCGCACUGUCUCCCCCAAGUCAGCCACUAAUUAGGCAGCCUGCUGGACCACAGCCUCUGAGGCCACCAGGGGGUUUAAUAUAGAAACUAUGGUCCCAUAUAGAUGGGAAGGAGCCUGUUUUAAGAUCAAAUCUCUCAUACCUGCAGUAAAUCUAACAAUAUCUGGACUUUCAAAUGAAUCCUCAUAUAUUGCUUCUCUUAUGCCAAGUUCACGAAUGAAAUUUUGAAGGUACUCCAUGGAGGACCACAAUCCUGUGUUUAAUGGUAUAUCUGAUUUGUUUGGCCAUACCACAUGGCAUGCUGCCAUUAGCCAAGUGAUUACAGAAUGAUUCUCAUUAGUAUAUUGGAUGCCUGCAUGUAAUCUUUGCCUAGGGACAGGGUGCACCGUCAUGGUGGCCAAUUUACAUAUUUCUGGCCCACUGACCAUGACACCUUCUCAUAGUCCCUGAAUCUCAUAGUCUUAGUAAUCAGGUUGGUACCAUGUCCAUUAAUUCAGUUGGUGUGUAUGGCUUAGCUCUUACAUACAAAUGUAUUUGGGCAGAUGGCCAUUGAUCAGGGGCCACCCCUAUCAGCCCAUCUUGUAUUUUUUUUGUUUUUUAGGUUAUAAUAGGGCAGAGUUCUAGGGAAUCUGUCACAAGUGGAACCUCCAAAUCCAAUGUAGAAUUUUAUUUCCCUGCUCAACCAGGUCCAUUGUUUCAGAAAUCUGUUCAUUAUCUAUUGAAAUUUUGCAGACCUGGCCUAAUGGGAGAUGAAAAUUGUUGGGUUUUUUUUUUCCCCUUAAUAUACUAAGCUCCUGUUCUAAUUUCUCAAUAUGGCCAUUCAAUAGAUGGUUUUCACUUUCUGAAGUAUCGGCUCUUAUUUCAGUUUAGUUUAGGGCAUUCAGCAGUGGCCAUGCUACUAUAGAGGCAGCUAACUGCCAUUCUUUUGUAAUUAACAUGCCUUUAUGCCACUGUUGUAGUAGGCGUCUUGCGGGGCUACGGGAUGUACGGGACAGGCCUCUCCCUAAGCACAGAGAGACAGUGCUAGCAUGCUGACCUUGAUGCAGAGAAAACAGGAGAAGAAGAAGGAUGAGAAAAGAAUGUGGAAAUGGCCAAAUAAGGCACAAUGUUAUCUGGUGUGAACCAAUCAGAGUGGGACAUGACAGCACGGUUUUGUAGGUAAAAUGUAUAUAAGCUGUGUUUAGUAGUGAAUAAACGCCAUUUUGCUGCUCAUC